AAAGCACCCCGGAAGGGGAGUGAAAUAGAACCUGAAACCGUGUGCUUACAAGUAGUCAGAGCCCGUUAAUGGGUGAUGGCGUGCCUUUUGUAGAAUGAACCGGCGAGUUACGAUUUGAUGCAAGGUUAAGCAGUAAAUGUGGAGCCGUAGCGAAAGCGAGUCUGAAUAGGGCGUUUAGUAUUUGGUCGUAGACCCGAAACCAGGUGAUCUACCCUUGGUCAGGUUGAAGUUCAGGUAACACUGAAUGGAGGACCGAACCGACUUACGUUGAAAAGUGAGCGGAUGAACUGAGGGUAGCGGAGAAAUUCCAAUCGAACCUGGAGAUAGCUGGUUCUCUCCGAAAUAGCUUUAGGGCUAGCCUCAAGUGAUGAUUAUUGGAGGUAGAGCACUGUUUGGACGAGGGGCCCCUCUCGGGUUACCGAAUUCAGACAAACUCCGAAUGCCAAUUAAUUUAACUUGGGAGUCAGAACAUGGGUGAUAAGGUCCGUGUUCGAAAGGGAAACAGCCCAGACCACCAGCUAAGGUCCCAAAAUAUAUGUUAAGUGGAAAAGGAUGUGGCGUUGCCCAGACAACUAGGAUGUUGGCUUAGAAGCAGCCAUCAUUUAAAGAGUGCGUAAUAGCUCACUAGUCGAGUGACACUGCGCCGA
rnacentral:rRNA from 1 species